rnacentral:rRNA from 1 species
AUGCGUGAGCCAUUGAGGAGUUCUGAUAGUUUUUACAUUAUAAUGUUUUUGGUGCAGACCAUCUAUUUUACUAAGUCUUCGUCUGUUAAUUUUCGCAAAUUUCAGCAUGAAUAUACAUUCAUACUCGUUCUCGGUUAUCCAUAUAGUCAUUUUAUUUCAUGUGCAGUAUGCAAUCAUGUUCUUUUCUUGUGA